CCCGCUCACCAAACCACAAGCGGUGCUCACGCCAAACUUUUCUCCUCCUGCAAAGCCCUAAAGACCAAGACUGAAGAAUUAACAGUUAGACACCGGAAAGGCAUUCAGAGCUUUUGUGGAGCAAAUCGCAUACAGUUGAACGGUCGUCUCGGGAUUUUCCAACUCUUUCUGACCGUUAAUUUUCUGGGAAAACGCUUUCUCAUAGAAAAGCUAAUCCUACAGUGUGUUCUGGGAUUCAUCUUCUUCACUAUUUUGCUGGUCUUAUAAGUGAUUGAGCCGUAAUUCUUUAUAUAUUAUGGAGAAUUUAAGCGUUACGGAUGCUAGAUUGGAGAAUUUUCAAGAAAGUGAUAAAUUGGAGGAUAAACUCCUUGAGGGUUUGGAAUCUUAUUUACAAGAUAUUAAUGAUCGGUUGACUAUUUCGAGGAUGGUGAGCGACUCUGUCAUAAAGGGCAUGGUUUCUGCAGUUAAACAAGAGGCAGAUGAGAAAAUUGUUCAGAAAGAAUUGGAGGUUGCUAGAUUGAAGGGUAUGCUACAUUUUUACCAUGUGGACGUGGAUGAAAAGGAAUUCUUGGGAUCUCCUUUGACAUGCCACAAGUCAAAAAGCUCAUGCCACCCCAGGACGUAUUAUAAAUUUUCAGACAAUUUUGUAGAGAAUGAUAGACUGAGAGAGUCUAUGGGAAGCCUUAGAAAUGUGGCUAAAUUUCAGUUCAAGAUGCUCAAGAAAGAGAUUGACCGAAUGAGAGGAUUUAGUUCCAUAAGAAGGAUUGGUUCGGGCUCCGAACAGCUGGGAUUGGGUGGUAUUCUUCAAGAUAAGGUAUCUGAAAGAGGGACUGAUGUCGAUGUAAUUCUUGAAGGUCUAAGAGCUACAAUAGACAAUGUCUACAUACAGGUGGAAGAUAUGUUUCAGUUGUCUAAGGUAUCACGCUGUGAAUGGCAGCAAGAGCGAGAGUUUCAGGCAGAAAUAGAAGGUAUGGUAAUUAAGAAUUGCAUUUGGAGUCUUCAAGAGGAGCUUGAAGAAAGAUUUUGGGAUCAAAAUGCUCGAUUUUGUGGUAAUGAAAGUGUAAAUUGGCUUGAAAAGAUCCAAGAGAUUUCAAGUUUGAGGCAGGAAUUGGAUGAAAUUUCUAAAUCACUGUCUGUUCAUGAAAUUGGGCAGCUAACUUCCCUUAUGUCCUUGGAGACUGGUGAGGAAUAUAAUAAUAACAAAAGGUCUGACCACUCCCACUGCAAAGUUUUAAGCAAUCAUGGUUCUGAUACAAAAAAUAAUACCCCAGAAAGUUCUGAUCCUGCCCAAUUAAAGCUCAUGUCAAAGGAUGAUUUGGUUUUUGAAAUGACCAAAAUGAGGAGAAAUCAUGAGUCUAAAGUGCAAGAGAUGACUGAAAAGUACUUUCUUCUCAAGCGGGAAUUUUUGAAGAUCAGAAAUGGGGGAUCAUCUUUGCCAUUAAAGAAGGAUAAAGAGUUUGACAUGUUAAAGACAAAAAUUCCCCAUUUCAUUUCUAGGUUGGAUGGCAUUCUUGUGGAAAAUGAGGCACUAAAUGCAUUCAGUGAAAAUGCUGACAAUAUUGGCAGUUUGAAGGACAGACUUGAAUCCCUUCUUUCAGAAAAUCGCCGCCUUAGAGAUUCACUUUCCAAUAAGAAAAAGGAAGUCAUGUGCCUCACAUCACAAGUUUCUGAUGCUGAAGAUAAAAUGUCAUACCGCCAUCUUAUCGAGGCAAAUUUGUUAGAUGCACAUAUUAAACAUUCAAUUAGCGAAGAUGUCUAUAAAUGUGCUCUUAGGGAGUUAAUGUGCCAAAUUAAAUGGGUCACUGAAGAGUCAGAUUUACAGUGUAACACCCUGCAGGAUAUUUAUAAAAUUAUUUUCAAUGAAGCGAUUCAUAGUGCUGAACUUUCAAGUGAGUAUGAAAUGGAAGACUCGGAUAUGGAGUCAAUUAUCACACAAGCAUUGUGUGGAAUUAUAUACAGAGAAGCAUUGAAGGAUGCUGAAGAGAAAGUCAGUUGCCUGAACACAAAAUAUGUUAGCGAGAAUAAAAAGAUACACUCUCUAGCAGCAUCACUAGAAGAGAAGUCGGAGUUAUUGCAGGAAACAAAGGCUGCAUUGGCAAAAGAGAAGGAGCAAUUUGAGUUAGCUUCUCAAGAGCUUGAUAAAUUAAGGGAUCUGACACAUCGACAGCAGAUGUUGUUUUCGGUGACAAGUAAAGAGUCCAAUGUCAUGAAGGGUAAUCUGGCCGAGGCAUUAGAGAAGAUCACACAAUAUAAGGCGAAGAUGCGUGAGUUAAAUCAGAAGCUUGAACUAGCAAUGGAAGAAUUGAGGGGAGCUGAUGAAGAGAGAAAGAUGCUCAAUGCCAUCAACCAAGAGAAGGAGAAGGCUUUAUCAUUGGUUGAAGUCAAAGAAAGGGAGAAUCAGAUGCAAAUGGAAUCGAUAAUUGUUCUUGUCCAGGGAUUGUUGAAAGCAGUUCUUGGUUUUGAAUGUAGAGUUACAGAAAAUAUAUCAAAUAUCAGUCUGAGAUUGGAAAAUUUGAUUUCUGAGUCGCAUUUGCUUAUCCCGAAGGCUAAUUUACUCCAAAGAACAGGGUUGUUGUACAAGCAGCGGCUUGAGAGGAGAUGUUCUGACCUUGAAAAGGCCGAAGUUGAGGUUGAUCUUUUGGGUGAUGAAGUUGAUGCUCUUUCAAGCCUUCUAGAAAAAAUAUACAUUGGACUUGAUCAUUAUUCACCAAUUUUGCAGCAUUAUCCUGGAGUAAGAUGAUUAUUGAGAUCCUGAAGCUGGUAAAAAGACAACUGAGUGGAGAAUCUACUAAAUCAGUUUGAUUUGUUCUUUCACUAGAUGCAAGGCCGCAUUAUUCAUUUUGAUCCUUGCUGCUGCAUCUGUAGAUACUGCAGGAUUUUCUUGGGAGUCAUUGGCAAACAUCAAUUACCGCUAUUACAACAGCUCAACGAUACGGCUAAAAUUUAAGCUGAAAAGAUCUAUACCUUCUUGGGAUGUCCAAUGAGUACUUUUACAGGAUAUUGGAAAGAUACGUAGAAGAGAUGCCACAUAGUUUUUUUCUUUUUGGGUGGGGGUGGAGGAUAAGUAACAUGGCACGUAAUUGCAGUAGUAUUGGCAGGGAAACUUGGAGAAGAACUUGAGUUUCGUUAUAGACUUGUCAAAAUAUUCUUUUAGGCCUUGGAGCAGCAUUUAUAGAAUGUUGCCUGAUAUCAGGUUACUAGAUUUAGGUCGUUUUGUUUAUAGUAACUGUUCUUUUGUUCCA